rnacentral:rRNA from 1 species
AGUGAACGCUGGCGGUAGGCCUAACACAUGCAAGUCGAACGGCAGCACAGUAAGUGCUUGCUCUUACGGGUGGCGAGUGGCGGACGGGUGAGGAAUACAUCGGACUCUACUUUUUCGUGGGGGAUAACGUAGGGAAACUUACGCUAAUACCGCAUACGACCUACGGGUGAAAGCAGGGGAUCUUCGGACCUUGCGCGAUUGAAUGAGCCGAUGUCGGAUUAGCUAGUUGGCGGGGUAAAGGCCCACCAAGGCGACGAUCCGUAGCUGGUCUGAGAGGAUGGUCGCCCACACUGGAGCUGGACCACGGUCCAGACUCCUACGGUAGGCAGCAGUGGGGAAUAUUGGACAAUGGUCGCAAGCCUGACCCAGCCAUACCGCGUGUGUGAAGAAGGCCUUCGGUUUGUAAAGACCUUUUGUGGGGAAAGAAAAGCAGCAGGUUAAUACCCCGCUGUUCUGACGGUACCCAAAGAAUAAGCACCGGCUAACUACGUG